AUUGAACGCUAGCGGGAUGCCUUACACAUGCAAGUCGAACGGAGUGGCGAACGGGUGAGUAAUGUAUCGGAACGUGCCCAGUAGCGGGGGAUAACUACGCGAAAGCGUAGCUAAUACCGCAUACUAUUGGAGCGGCCGAUAUCGGAUUAGCUUGUUGGUGGGGUAACGGCUCACCAGGGCGACGAUCCGUCGCUGGUUUGAGAGGACGACCAGCCAAACUGGGACGGGGACACGGCCCGGACUCCGACGGGCGGCAGCAGGGGGGAAUUGUGGACACUGGGGGAAACCCUGAUCCAGCCAUCCCGCGUGUGCGAUGAAGGCCGUCGGGUUGGAAAGCACUUUUGGCAGGAAAGCGGGACCUGAAGAAUAAGCAACGGCUAACUACGUGCCAGCAACCGCGGUAAUAC
rnacentral:rRNA from 1 species